AACGAACGCUGGCGGCAUGCUUAACACAUGCAAGUCGAACGAGACCUUCGGGUCUAGUGGCGCACGGGUGCGUAACGCGUGGGAACUUGCCCUUAGGUUCCGAAUAACUCCCCGAAAGGGGUGUUAAUACCGGAUAAUCUCUUAGGACCAAAGAUCUAUUGCCUUGGGAUGGGCGUGCGUUGGAUUAGCUAGUUGGUAGGGUAAAAGCCUACCAAGGCGACGAUUGAUAGCUGGUCUGGGAGGAUGAUCAGCCACGCUGGAACUGAGACACGGCCCAGACUCCUACGGAAGGGAGGAGAGGAGAGUAUAGGGCGAUGAACGAAAAUCUGGUCAAGCAGUGCCGGGUGAGUGGUGAAUGCGUUAGGAUUGUAAAGCUGUUUUAGCCGAGAUGAUAGUGACAGUACCGGGCGAAUAAGCUCCGGCUAACUCCGUG
rnacentral:rRNA from 1 species